GCUGGAACUAAACCCAUGAAGGGAUUUGGCCGUCCACCUUUUGGGGCAGGUCCAGGUGUGGGAAUGGGAAGCUCCAGAGGUCUGGGAGUACCUCAGCUUGCCAGGAAUCAAGGAAAGGCAUAUGGCAAUAAUGGUUAUGGAGCUCAGCCCAUGGGAGGCUACAAUGGCGGGUAUGGUGGUGUUGGUUUGGGUCUGGGACCUCGGUAUGGAAAUGGAGGAAUGAAGGGACCGAAGCAAGGU